GGAGGUGAGGACGAUCUGGCUGUGACAUCUGUCACCCCAUUGAUCACCAGGGUUGAUUCGGCUGAUCUGGCUGGCUAGGCGGGUGUCCCCUUCCUCCCUCACCGCUCCAUGUGCGUCCCUCCUGAAGCUGUGCGCUCGAUCGAAGAGGACAACCAUCCCUGAUAGAGGAGGAUCAGUCUUUAGUCAAGGGUAUACGAGUAGCCUCACUCCCCUGCCCCUGCGAGAACCUCCAAACAAGCUCUCAGGGUUCAUAAAAUAUCCAUGUAUUACGUGGGAGCUGUUCAUCCAU
rnacentral:snRNA from 1 species